GGGUCGGUAGCUCAGCCUGGUAGAGCACUUGGCUUUUAACCAAGUGGUCGCGAGUUCGAAUCUCGUCCGACCCG
rnacentral:tRNA from 1 species